rnacentral:rRNA from 1 species
AACUGAAGAGUUUGAUCAUGGCUCAGAUUGAACGCUGGCGGCAGGCUUAACACAUGCAAGUCGAGCGGGGGAAGGUAGCUUGCUACCGGACCUAGCGGCGGACGGGUGAGUAAUGCUUA